rnacentral:rRNA from 1 species
CUAUUUAGGUAGUGCCUCGAGAUUACACUGACGGGGGUAGAGCACUGUUAUGGCUAGGGGGUCAUUGCGAUUUACCAACCCAUGGCAAACUCCGAAUACCGUCAAGUGCGUCCUCGGGAGACAGACAGCGGGUGCUAACGUCCGUUGUCAAGAGGGAAACAACCCAGACCGCCAGCUAAGGUCCCAAAUGACAUGCUAAGUGGUAAACGAAGUGGGAAGGCCAAGACAGCCAGGAUGUUGGCUUAGAAGCAGCCAUCAUUCAAAGAAAGCGUAAUAGCUCACUGGUCGAGUCGUCCUGCGCGGAAGAUGUAACGGGGCUCAAGCAUGUAACCGAAGCUGCGGAUGCGUACUUGUACGCAUGGUAGGAGAGCGUUCUGUAGGCCUGCGAAGGUGGUGGUGUAAACCCUGCUGGAGGUAUCAGAAGUGCGAAUGCUGACAUGAGUAGCGAUAAAGCGGGUGAAAGUCCCGCUCGCCGAAAACCCAAGGUUUCCUACGCAACGUUCAUCGGCGUAGGGUGAGUCGGCCCCUAAGGCGAGGCAGAAAUGCGUAGUCGAUGGGAAACGGGUCAAGAUUCCCGUACCGGUUGUGAAUGCGAUGGGGGGACGGAGAAGGGUAGCUCAGCGGCCUGUUGGAAUAGGUCGUUUAAGCGUGUAGGAGUGGUCUCCUGGCAAAUCCGGAGAUCUUAUCUGAGGCGUGAUGACGAGGGUCUACGGACCUGAAGUGAGUAAUCCCAAGCUUCCAGGAAAAGCCUCUAAGCUUCAGUUCACAACUGACCGUACCGCAAACCGACACAGGUGGGUAGGUAGAGAAUACCAAGGCGCUUGAGAGAACUCGGGUUAAGGAACUCGGCAAAUUGACACCGUAACUUCGGGAGAAGGUGUGCCCCGGUAGCGUGUAGGACUUCGCGUCCGAAGCGUGAUGGGGUCGCAGAGAAUAGGUGGCUGCGACUGUUUAAUAAAAACACAGCUCUGUGCCAACACGAAAGUGGACGUAUACGGAGUGACGCCUGCCCGGUGCCGGAAGGUUAAGUGAUG